rnacentral:rRNA from 1 species
CUACGGGGGGCAGCAGUGGGGAAUAUUGCGCAAUGGGGGGAACCCUGACGCAGCAACGCCGCGUGAAGGAAGAAGGCUUUCGGGUUGUAAACUUCUUUGAAUGGGGACGAAGUAGUGACGGUACCCAUAAAACAAGCCACGGCUAACUACGUGCCAGCAGCCGCGGUAAUACGUAGGUGGCAAGCGUUGUCCGGAAUUACUGGGUGUAAAGGGCGUGUAGGCGGGGAAGCAAGUCAGAUGUGAAAUUCCAAGGCUUAACCAUGGGGCUGCAUCUGAAACUGUUUUUCUUGAGUGCUGGAGAGGAAAGUGGAAUUCCUAGUGUAGCGGUGAAAUGCGUAGAGAUUAGGAGGAACACCAGUGGCGAAGGCGGCUUUCUGGACAGUAACUGACGCUGAGGCGCGAAAGCGUGGGGAGCAAACAGGAUUAGAUACCCGCGUAGUC